CAGCCGCCGCGGGAAUACGGAGGGGGCUAGCGUUGUUCGGAAUUACUGGGCGUAAAGCGCACGUAGGCGGCUUGGUAAGUUAGAGGUGAAAGCCUGGAGCUCAACACCAGAAUUGCCUUUAAGACUGCCGAGCUAGCAGGUGAGAGAGGUAAGUGGAAUUCCGAGUGUAGAGGUGAAAUUCGUAGAUAUUCGGAAGAACACCAGUGGCGAAGGCGGCUUACUGGCUCAUACUGGACGCUGAGGUGCGAAAGCGUGGGGAGCAAACAGGAUUAGAUACCCCCGUAGUCCCUGUCUCUUAUAC
rnacentral:rRNA from 1 species